rnacentral:lncRNA from 1 species
CAAUAUCAGUAAUGGACACGGAAGGGAAUAGGGGUGUAAUACGAUUACACCCGACCAAACAAGCUCUAAAGGAAUGGCGAGAUGAAUGUGGAUGCAUAAAUUCUGUCGGAGGCAAAUGACUUGCGGAAAUUUAUAGUUACAUGACUCAGGUUAAUAUAAAAAAUUGUACAUUUUAAACUUUUAAUUUAUUGAUUGAAUUCUAAUUUUUAACUUUGGUUUAGAACAUCAGGAGAUUUGCGUGAGUAAGUGACUCAAUAUUUAAAAAAAAAUUAAUUUUAAAAUAUUUUUAUGUUAUUUAUGUGAUAUAUGAUAUUUUUGACCAUAUUUUAUGAAAAUCAAGUUAAAAAUGCUAGUAGUAUUAAAAUUUGAAACAUGUAUGUUUGAAUUAUCUAAAUAUUAUUUUUUUCUAUAUUUAAAUUUCAUCAUAUGAUUAUGAAAUAUGUUUCGGUGUAUAUAUAAAAUAUGUUUUGCAAAAAUAUGUUGUCGAAUUAUGUUUUUUUAUAUGAAAGACAUUACAGUAAUCCAAUUUUCAUGAUUUUGAGUUUGCUCCUUGUUGAUGUUAGGUGUCAAUAAGGGAGGAAACAUGAAGGAGGGUACGUUGGCGCUGAUGAAGGCUAGUUCACCCAGAUAGGACGGAGAGCUGGAGAACGUAUGUGAGUGAGGAUCUUGAGGACACAAAUAUGGAUGCUGAGGGCAAUAAGGUGGCUAUGUGUACUUAAGGGUCAAUCCAUUCUUCAUCUCAUGUGCGUGCUAAAUGAAGUAUAUAAAGGAGGUUUUGUGUUUGGUGAUGCUGAUUCGGUGAACUUGCUAUCACGCCAUCAUUGUGGGAUGGAUGGGAAAGAUGUUUGUAAUGAGACGCAUUUUGUCAUUCCUUUUGAACUGUGGUAGUUAGAUUCACGUGGAGUUUGUAAACCUAAAAGUCACAUUCUGAACAGAAGAGCAGGUGUUCCUUAAGAAGGGGCAGGCGAAAACCUUCUGUAGAAAGCAGGUAGUAACCUUACAGGGAUGGUUGACAAGAAUCCUUCUGAGGAAGACGAAAGGUUGGUUGGAAUCUGGCCUUCCGAACCAUCAAUCUUCUGGUAAUUGGCCGGUUGGUAGUGAGCGGAGGGAUAUCUCUUGGGUGGCUUGAUGUGCUAACCAAGACCAUUAGCAAGUGAACAUGUUUUGGCUUUAUGUUGUGAACAUGGGAAUGGGAAGUUUGGAAAAUGAUUAUUUCAGACAUUAUUGCAUUUUUUAGCUUUUAAGACUUUUCAAUUUUUCUGAACUUUAUUAGUUUAAUAUAUUUUUUUAUGUAGAGAAGGGAUUGUAAGAAGCUAUAAUUCCACAUCAUCCUUAUCACUUUCUAAUAGGAGAAUGACAAGUCAACUUUUUACUCUUGAGUUUUAGCAUUUUUAGUUGGAUUUGACUUUUUUUUAGGAGGGAAAGGCUGAAAAUCAGGAGGAAAAUUUUGAAUUGUCAUUCUCCUGUUGAAAAAGGAUGACGUGGAAUCACAGUUUCAUACAAUCCUUUCUCCUCCAUGUAAUAGCCUUGCCCUUUAAAAAAU